UACGUAGGGUGCGAGCGUUGUCCGGAAUUAUUGGGCGUAAAGAGCUCGUAGGUGGCGGGUCACGUCGGGUGUGAAAGCCCGGGGCUUAACUCCGGGUCUGCAUUCGAUACGGGUCUGCUGGGGUCCGGCAGGGGAGACUGGAAUUCCUGGUGUAGCGGUGAAAUGCGCAGAUAUCAGGAGGAACACCGGUGGCGAAGGCGGCUUACUGGUCCAUAACUGACGCUGAGGUGCGAAAGCGUGGGGAGCAAACAGG
rnacentral:rRNA from 1 species